CUACCUCGGUUACAUCUGUAAUGACUACUCACUAGAGUUCUGCUAUGCUUCUUAAGGAGUAAACUUCUCCGACCACCCUUGCCGAGUGCUUAGUACCCAUGAAGCACUCCAUAGCCCUUUGCUGACUAGGUUGCAAACGUGAGCACCACGUUUUCAUGAAUUGGGGAAACUCGAUCUAUCUCUGCCUACUAUGUGGAGGAAAAGAAGAUAAAUCCACACUUGAAGAGAACGUGCACGUGCAUUUCACCGCAUCAGAAUGGCAUGAAGCAAGAGAGAAAAAAUGGCUUAUAAAAAGGCAUAUUCUUCGGCUGGAAAGAUGGCUCAGCAGUUAAGAACAUUUUCCUGCAGAGGACCAGUUCCCACAGGGUGGCUUGCAUGCUUGUAACUUCAGUUCCAGAUCUGACUCUUUCAGCUGGCAUCUGCUGGUGCACUUAAGCUCACACAUUUAUGUAAUUUUUAGAUGCAUAUUCUUAGGGUCACAUAGACUUAAGAAGGUGAAACCUAGGGACCAGUGUUUGUCCAGAUUUUUUAAACAGCUUCUACACUCUCUCGAGUUUGUUAUUCAUUCAGUUUUGCUAUUUCAUGCGGGCCCAAGAAUGGGGAACUGCUUCUAGCUCUAUCAGGAAUCCCUGCCAAAUUAUUAAGAUGCAGCUUCCUUCUUAUCUAGGCGGUCCCCAAUUCUGCUUUUUCUAACAAGCUCCCAGGAUAUACUAAUGGCCUUAAAAACAGUUAUGAUUCUCGGGCUGAGCUGCACUUUAGAAUCACCGGGGGAGUUGGUGGAGGUAGAAUCCAGAUACUUAAGACUUAUGCUAGAACAAUUACAUCAACAGCUAGAGUUGGAAACUAGUUAUUCUUUCCCUGAAAUGAUCCAUGGAAAUUCCUGUUUUUCUUUCCAGUAGAGAGAUUUGAAACCAAGGCUUAACAUGCUAGGGAGGAAGACUACUAUUGAGCUAUUUCCAGUCGAUUCUUGCCUCUCCUUUUUGACAGAUUUCACAUAGGACAGGCUGGAUUGGACCUAGAGCUUUGCAGCAGAGAAUGACCUUGAACUUCAAGUCUUCCUGCUUCCAUUUCUCAAGUACUGGAUUUCAGAUCUCCACAGCAGCCUUAUCAUAUGCCUGGUAGAAAAGGGUAUGGUACCUGGAGUGGAGUGAAGGCCACACUGGAGGCAGUCCCUGAGGAGCGGUCACGAAUUGUUGACUUCCCACCAUACACCACGCUCUGUUUCUGUAAGGUCCGCUGUAGGGAAAGGGGAGGCUGGGAUCCAGGCUCACUGACCUCCAUAUCCCACCUGCCUCCCAUUCUCAUGGGCCCAAUCCAUACCUGCAGUGUCUUGGAGAUCCUGGCCUUGGUGGCCUCAUUCACCUGGGUCUGCCGCACACGCCCACUGCCUGACUUGCCCAAGUGGCCCAGGCUAAAGCCCAGGUCUUCCUGAUAGGCAUCCUCCUCAAUCUGGUGAGACGAGAGCAACCUGCGGUUAAGAAGCUGGGUACAUCCAGCCAGUCCCCUGAGGCAGUCACCUGAGAACCCAAUCAGCCAGUCUCAUGGACACCACCUCAUCAGCCAGGGGACUGGCAGCAUUAAGUGACCUAAUAAGAGCCUACCCUAUUGGCCAGAGUCCAUCAUCCUUAGCAGUAUGUAAUUAAAGCUCGCUUCACAUUUGUCUCAGAAAAGAAAAAACAAAAACAAAAACAAGAGCCUAUCCUACCUCUGUUUGGGUAUAGCUAGGAACCCUGGGAAGAACUGGUUCCUGACCUGAGUAGAGUAGCCAUUUUUUCUCUACAUCCACAUUAAGUUGCCAAGAAUUGGGAUGAGCCGCGCUACUGAGGUGGCACCUAAGCGGAUUCUUUCAGGACCACCUAGAUGACAGUCAGAUAUAGAAGCAGCCUGGAGAGCUGCGUGGGAAGCCAGCCAGCUGAGAGCUGCAAAGAUCACCAUGGAGAAGGUGGUUUAAGAGGAGAGGCUAGACAAGAGGGAGGAGGGUUGGGUAGCCCCAGAUCUGCUCUCAGAUUACAGGGUGGGGAGGAGGGAUGGCAGCAGGAUGUGCAGAGAGAAGACCCUAAUAUGGUCCCACUGGUACUGUGGAUCAAGCCUGACCUCUCCAAAGCUCAUGCGGUUGGCCUGCUUCCGGAUCUCCGUCAGUCCUAGCCGUUCCUUCAUCUUGCGGUACCUAGGGCAAGUGGGUGUUAACAGGAUAUAGGGAGCUGGCUGGGAAGAAGUUGUUUCCCUUCCCCACUUCCAAACGUCUAGCCCCAUCAGAACUCCUUACCUUCGGCCCCCUCGCUUCUUCCGCUGCCCAUCAAGGGGUGCAGGCAGGGGCUUCACCUGCUUCACGGGUGGUGGCUCCUGCCACUUAUCAAAUUUGCGCUCAAUCUCAUCCUUUAGUUCGUAGCCCACCUAGGGGGGAGUUGAGAAGCGGUGGCCAGCCAUGUAAACUGUCCCCUCAGCCAACAUCUAUAUAUCAUCAACCCAUCUAUUGUGUAUCUGACCACCUGACAGUGUGCCCUCCCCAAGACAUGUUCUUCACGUUUGUCCAGGAAUGGUGCUCUGUGGGUUCCAGUGCCUAGUGCUCCUUGAACUUGUAGCUCAGGUUCAGUCCUCAUAUCUAAGCUCUGCACCCUCUGGAUAAUUGUCUCUGUCUGAGUCCUGGGCCAGGCAGAAUCCCUGUAUUCUCUAGUCAACAGACAGCGUGUCAUCUCCACUGCCUUACUUCCACACCACAGAUCCCCCUGGCCUCUUAGAACAGACCCCAGCUAGCCUGCUUCUCAGUGCCUCUACAGCAGCCAGAGGCCCUCAAAGGUUGUACACAUUAUCUGCUCCUGGAAGCAGAAGGCUCCUCUCCCUGCUGGGGUUCACUCAACUCUGGCCUCAAGAUCUUUGUACUCACUAUUCACUCUGUCUGGAGCACUCUUCCAAGUGGAUAGCACAAGUAGCCACACGACUGACUAUAACUUCACUCAAGCCCAAAUUAAAACGUCCUCAGAAGUUUUUCUUCACAUUCUCUGUCAUCAGAGUCUAAGCUUCCUAACCCCACAGCCCCCCUGAUUGCCCCUGGCAUUCACAAAGCACCACUGAACCCACUACAGACUUUUCAGAACUACUGCCUAGUUGUUUUGGUCCCAGCUAGAACAUAAAUGCUGUGUGACACAGCAACCUCCAAUCCUAGCUAGCAGCUGGAGCAGGAGGAUCAAAACUCGUUCAAGGCUUUCCUGGACUAGAGAUAAGACAUGUCUCACAAAAGGGUGAGGGUGAGCUGAGGAUGUAUAGAUCUUAUAGAUGUAUGUUCAGUGGUACAGAUCAGUUGUCUAGAACACGUAGAGUCCUAGGUUCAAUCCCAGUAUACCCACCACACACACACAAAAGCCACUGAGGCAGACCUUUGACAUCUAUAUAACCCCCUGCUGUACUGCCUUGUUUAGAAAGUGGCAAAAGGCAAAACCAAAGACUGAACCUCUGACCUGGGCUAUGAUGUAAUUUCUAGCAGGGAAAUGCACACAGUAUUGUUUCUUAAGCCCACACAGAAAAAUAGAUGGUAUCACUGGAAUCAUGUCCCUGCUAGUACAGGACAGGUCCUACUAUGGUAGGCAAAAUACUGUCCCUUCCAACACAGGGCUACACCUUGGUGUCAGGUGUCCUGGUCUCUAGGAUCUGUGACUACAUUUUACAUGGCAGAGGAUCUUUGCACAAAAAGCCAAAGAUCUGGUAUCAUGGCUUCUACACCAACACCUCACCUAUCUCCUGAGACAGGGUCUCUCACUGGAACUUACUGAUUUGGUUGCCAGGCCCACAAGCUCCAAAUGCCCUCCUGCCUUCACCUUCCCAGAGCUGGGGUUAGUUACUGAUGUGAAGUACUCUGCCUGCUUUCUUUUUUCCCUUAACCUGAGUUAGGAAUUGAACUCAAGUUCUCAUGCUUGCAUGCAGGAACUGAAGUGAUGGAGCCGCAUCUCCAGCCCUGGGCUUUUUUUCUUUUCAAACACAGGAUUUCACUAUGCAGCCCAGUCUGGCCUGAAACUUAUAUAACCCAGACUGCCUCAAACUAAUGAUCUUCCCACCUCUGUCUCUCAAGUAUUGAUGUUAAAGAGGCCUAGCCAACUUUUAUAUGAAGCUACUCCAUCUAUAGUGAGUUGUCAUAACUGAUACAGAGCUGAGAAUGUGAUGGCCUCAGUAGGGGUUGCAGACAGACACAUCUGUCUGCUAGUCAGAAGAGGUCUCUGAAGUAGCAUCUUCCCAUGAAAAGACCCCAAGCACCAGGGACAGAUGCCUGUCCUCUCCUCACCUUCCCUUCUGUGCUCUCAUGGAAGCUGUCCACACGAGCUGCCAGUGUACACUUGGCAGCCACUAGGCGGGCCGCCUUCCGCCGGAGAUCCUGGAGCAAUGGCAAGGAGAAAGGAAACUGAACCUCUAGAGAAGGUAACAGCCACUACAAUAGUCACUCCUCAUCUAGGGCAGCCAUACCCCAGACUCUGGGAGGUAAGCCUCAUACCCGUGGGCUCUUCUAAUAACAGCCUCUUGAGGGGUACACUCUGGCUGCCCCCCAGUUUCCAGCCACCCAACUAUUAUUGCCAAGUGGUGGCCCCAGAAUGGUAUCCUCCAGGAGCCUGAGGAAUAUUGCCAGCCAAGCCAGAUAAGGCCUGGUGGCUGGGGGAAGGGGACAAGGUGAAGGACUCACUGGGGGCAGAGACUGCACAAUGUCACUGUGGUAGAUAUAACCAGUAUGAGGCAACACUGAGGUAGAAGAGAAGCCAGACAGGGUCUUGCGCUGGGCUCCCAGCAGCAUGAUGUUGCAGGCAGGCAUCUUAGAGAGGUUGGUGAGCCCUCCAGCCACACCUGCAACAAGAGGUGAGGUCAGAGCCCAGGACUUCCAUCCAGGAGCUCAUGUAUACCUUUGUGCUUUGAGUAAGAGUGACUCCCAUAGGCGCAUAAAGUCACCAUGAGGUGAAACUCAUGGAUAGACUAGACUGAUCAGGAGGCGUGGCCUUGUUGGAAGACAUGUAUCACUGGGGGUGAAUUCUGAGGUUUCAAAAGCCCAUGCCAGGUCCCACAUGUGUGUGUGUGUGUGUGUGUCUGCUUGUGGAUCAUCUACAUCUCCAGCACUAUACCUGCCUGCCGCUGUGUUUCCUCCCAUGAUGAUAAUGGCUUAAGCCUCUAAAAGUAAGCCCCAGUUGUCUCUUCACAGCAAUAGAACAGUGACUACGACGUCUUUGCUCCUUCAUUUGUUGGCUGGUUUGAUAACAAGUAUUUCACUCUGUAGCCAAGGCUGGUCUCAAACUCAAAGUAAUCCUCCUGCCUCAGCCUUCUAGAUACUGGCGUUACUAGUAUGAGCUACUGCAUCUAGGAGGAUAUGGAUCUUUUGGGGGGUAUUUUAUUUUUAUUAUUUUAUGUGUAUAAGUAGGGUGUGUGAAUGGAGACCAGAAGACACUUUUGGGACUUAGCUCUUCCCACUUGGAUGUGGGUUUGGGGGAAUCACCACACUCAGGCUGCCAACCCUGGGCAGCAAGUUCUUUUACUAGCUGAGCCAUCUUUCUAGCACAGGACACAGAAUCUUUAAGAAGAUGGCUGAGGUAAAAUAAGGUCAUAUGGAUCCUGACUCUAUCCGACUGGAAUGCUUGUAAGGAAAGGAGAUAAGGACACAGAUACAAGUGGUGUAACUCCAUGAAGACACAGAAGACACGUCUGAGCCAGGCAGAGGCCUCUGGAGAGGUCUCACAGCACCUUGGUCUCAGCCUUUGCCAGCUCUGAAACAGCCUGGCCAGAGGGCCUCAAGACUGAAGCUAAGUAAGCAAAGAUGGUGAUUUUCCCCAUAUUCCCUUUUCAAGCACCUCUCUGCAAUGAGGGAAGGGACUCUGCUACAGGAGCUUCCAGGAGAAGAGCAUAGCAUAUGGGAGGAUUUGCUGCCCCAAGUAGUAGGAAAGCCUGAGCUGACUUCGGUACUCGGUGGUUGCUCCAGAGUCUAAAAUGGGCCUAUUGUCAGGAAGAGGCCAUCUGUGCGGUCUAAUUAAGCCAGCCAGCUCAACCUAGAAGGGGGUUGCUGUGCUUCUAUUGUGUGGAUGUGCCAAACUGGCUGACCUCUGACUUCAGGGGACAACACAAUAGGCCAAACCCCACUUUCCAAGGCAACCUAACCUAUCAGCAGACUCUGCCAAAGGGACCCCGCUGGGACCUCACCCAUGAUCUUGGCAGCUGUGGAUGCUCCAAUGAUGAUGGACAAGUUGGGUGCAAUGAAGGACAUCCGGGACUCCACAUACUCAUAGAUGCGGUGUUUGGAGGCAUUCAGCUCCAGUGCCAUGUCACAGGCCUCCUCUAGCCGCUCUAGCUCCUCAUCCGACAGCUGCUGCCUACAUUGUGGAGCACGUGAGGGUUGUGGGCAGACUCCAGCUUUGCUAGGUACAUUUCUUUCUUUUUUUUAAAAGAUGUAUUUAUUUAUUAUAUGUAAAUACACUGUAGCUGUCUUCAGACACUCCAGAAGAGGGCAUCAGAUCUCCUUACAGAUGGUUGUGAGCCACCAUGUGGUUGCUGGGAUUUGAACUCAGGACCUUUAGAAGAGCAGUCGGUGCUCCUACCCACUGAGCCAUCCCUCCAGCCCCACUAGGUACAUUUCUAACUGGUGGUCAGCCCCAUCUACUGUCUCAGCUGUGUAUGUAUGUGUGUUUGUUUAGUUCUGGGACUAUCAUAAAAAUUCCAUCUGUCUAGGGGCCAUAAUUCUCAGUCAGCACCACUCUGACCAUGCCCUCCAUUCUGUCUCUCCUGUUAAUUGUCCUAUGGUAGGCUUGCGGCACAUUACCGUUUGGCAUACAUACCCCUGGGUAGUAGAGGCAGUGACACUAACAACCAUGAUAGUAGCAUUGGUCAGGAUCUGCUGGAGGUUCUCAUUGUUCUUGCACUUAUCCAGGCUGUUGCCCAGCUCCUGGGGUAGGAAGGGGAGGGAGAAUUUGUAGUAAGCCCAAAAGACCCUCUUUUGCUACAACACCAACAGAGGUCUCCCCUUGAGGAAGCUGGGAAAGCUAAGGUCCAUACACUGGAGGCCUCUCUUUCCUUUUACACUUUUACAACCUCCCUGCCUAAAGCAUCAGUGUGCCUGCUCUGCUCUACGGAUGCAGAAGUACAAGCUGGCAAAGCAGCCUCCAAGGAAGACAUGCUGCACUAAAGAGGCCGUCAAAAGCGCACUUUAUUCCACAGACACAAUUCCUGUGCCACCAUCCUGAUCUCCUGGACAGAGGCAGGACCCCUGCUCUUUCACUUCCACUCGCUCCAAUCCCUUGUAGAGAAGCCAACACCUUCCACAUCUAAUGUUCUCUGCCCUUUCUGACCUCUCCAAGCUUCCCUCCCUGCCCCUUCUGACUUCAUCCUUGCUUGUUCCCACGCAGGGUCUUAGCUCUUAUUCAGCGGUGGCCUCUGCCAGCUCAAAGGACACCUGCUCCAACUGCAGCCAGAGGUAAGGGCCAGGUCAGUGGUUAUCCUCCCAUGAAACCAAGGGGAGGAAGGAAGCAAGAGAUGUGCAUGACACAUCCAUUCCAGUAUCUGUCCCUCACCACUGAGCCCCAUUCAUGACUCUCCAUUAUUUCUAGACUUGAGGUUUCAUGGUCUAGUGGCCCCAGUUCUUCCCAAGCCAGACUUCUCUCCACUCACCUUGACUGUGCGGAUGUAAUCCAGAGCAUUGGGCACCAAGGAUUCUAGCUCAGGGAAUCUCUUUGAGUAUUUAUCCCGGAUGAACUUGUGGAUAAUGUCUAAAUGGGACAUCAAGGACAGGUGUCUACUGAGGGGGAGGCAGACUCUGCUGCUAUCCCCAAUACCUACUUCCACCUCUCUAGUAACCAACCCCAAAUCAUUCUAAUUUCCUAGCUGUCUCCAAUGCUAUGUGCAGGUGGGAGUUUGUUCUACAAAAGUCUACAAAAUAUGAACUGAAAGUGACAAUUUUCAACUUCCAGAUCGUGGCCUUAAGGAAACAACUAUGGCCUAUCUUCCCUCCACAUUUGCUGGUAGGGAUGCAGAGUCUAUCCUCUGGGUCAAUCUGGUCUUGACCUCAUCUUGCUCCAAAAUUAAACCUUCCUAUAGCUUCCCAAAGCCUUGAGGCUAGCGAGCAAGAUCCUCAGACUGGCACUCAAGGUCUCCCAUACAGAUGGAGGUCCACGUUCCCCACACCUGCAACCUUGGUGCACACAGCACAGGAGUCCCUUCAGUGAGAUCCGGUGACUCGUUGGCUCUACAGCAUUAUCCUUUCUGCUUUUCUGCUCCAUCCUCCCAGCCGCCACCGGGCACUCAAGGCUAUUUCACUCCUCCUGCCUUCACAGGUGUUGUCUCACUUUCUUCUAAAAAAAAUGUAUGUAUGCGUUUUGCCUGAUGUGCAUAAUAUAUAUAUAAUGCCCAUGGAGAGCAGAAGAUGUCAGAUCACCAAGAACUGGAGUUACAGAUAGUUAUGACCCAUGUGGAUGCUAAGAACUAAACCCAAGACCUCUGGAAGAGCAGCAGAUACUCUUAACUAUCUCUCCAACUCCAUGAAUGUACCUAUUUCUGAGACAGGGUUUUACCCAGGCUGACUCUGACCAGACUGGACUUGAACUCAUUCAUGUACCUGCUGCCUCAGUCUCCUAAGUGGUGAGAUAUAAACACAUAUCAUGUCUGGG